UAAAUUAAAUAAUUUUUUUAAAGUAAAUAUUAUUUUUAAAAGAUUAAAAAUUAUUAUUUAUAUUAUUGUACUGUAGGGGAUAAUUUAUAUUAAUGGAAAAGUAAUUUUUGUACCUUUUGUAUAAGGGCUAUUUUAUAUUUAUAAAAUAUUUUUAUAUCUCGAAGUAAAUUUAACUAUAAAAUAAAGUAUUAAUAUAUUUAAUAAUAUUAAAUAAAUUAUUUUAUAUUAUGAAAAGUAAAUUGGAAUUUAUAUUUCUAGUUAAAAAAAUAAUAUUUUAUAUAUUUUCUUUUUUUUUUAUAUUGGUAUAUUAAAAGAUUUAUUUUAUAUGAGAUAAGUUAUAUAAUGAGUUAUAGGUUUUGUAAAUUUGGUAAAUAAUAAGAUUUAAUAAUAAUUCAUUUUUGUAAUAAUUAUAUUUAUAUUGAAUUAAUAUAUUAAUUAUUGAAUAUAAAUUAUUUAUUAAUUAAUAAUUAAAAAAAUGAAUAGAUUAGUAUAAUUAAUAAUUUUAAAAAUAAAAAUUCGACAAAGUUAUAUACAAUUGUUUAACAAAAACAUUUUUUUUAGAUUUAAUUAAAAAUAUAUUCUGCUCAAUGAUGAUAUUAAAUUGCUGUAGUAAUAUAACUAUACAAAGGUAUUGAAAUAAGAUUUUAAAUGGGUGCUAAGAGAAUGGAUGAAUGUAUAUAAAUUGUUUUUUUUUAAAAAUUAAAAAUUAAUUUAAAAAUGAAAAAGUUUUUAUGUAUUAAUGGGACAAGAAGACCCUAUGAAUCUUAAUUAUUUUUAAAAUUAAAAAUUAUUUUAAUAUAAUUUAAUUGGGGCGAUUGAAAAAGAAUAUUUAUCUUUAUUUUGAAUUUAUUUUUUAAAUAUAGGAAAAGAUACUCUAGGGAUAACAGCGUUAUUAUUUUGGAUAGUUCAUAUUGAUAAAAUAGUUUGCGACCUCGAUGUUGAAUUAAUGAACCUUUUAAAUGAAGUUAUUUAGAAAGGUAGAUUGUUCCUCUAUUAAAUCAUUACAUGAUUUGAGUUCAGACCGAUGUAAAUCAGGUUGGUUUCUAUCUAUUGGUUAAUUAGAUAUUGGUUAGUACGAAAGGAAUACUAAUAUUAAUUAUUUUA
rnacentral:rRNA from 1 species